GACGAACGCUGGCGGCGUGCUUAACACAUGCAAGUCGAACGGAAAGGCCCUGCUUUUGUGGGGUGCUCGAGUGGCGAACGGGUGAGUAACACGUGAGUAACCUGCCCUUGACUUUGGGAUAACUUCAGGAAACUGGGGCUAAUACCGGAUAGGAGCUCCUGCUGCAUGGUGGGGGUUGGAAAGUUUCGGCGGUUGGGGAUGGACUCGCGGCUUAUCAGCUUGUUGGUGGGGUAGCGGCUUACCAAGGCUUUGACGGGUAGCCGGCCUGAGAGGGUGACCGGCCACAUUGGGACUGAGAUACGGCCCGGGCUCAUAAGGGAGGCAGGGGUGGGAAAUAUUGCACAAUGGACGGAGGCCUGAUGCAGCAACGCCGCGUGCGGGAUGACGGCCUUCGGGUUGUAAACCGAUUUCGCCUGUGACGAAGCGUGAGUGACGGUAAUGAGUAAAGAGGCACCGGCUAACUACGU
rnacentral:rRNA from 1 species